rnacentral:rRNA from 1 species
GAUGAACGCUAGCGGCGUGCCUAACACAUGCAAGUCGAACGUGAGAGGGUACUUGUAUCCUUGAAAGUGGCGGACGGGUGAGUAAGACGUAGGUGACCUGCCUUGAAGUGGGGGAUAACCAUUGGAAACGAUGGCUAAUACCGCAUAAGCUGGUGAUGAUGGGAAUCGUUAUCAGGAAAGCUUUAGUGCUUUGAGAGGGGCCUACGGCCGAUUAGCUAGUUGGUGAGGUAAAGGCUCACCAAGGCGAUGAUCGGUAGCUGGUCUGAGAGGACGAUCAGCCACACGGGAACUGAGACACGGUCCCGACUCCUACGGGGGGCAGCAGUGAGGAAUAUUCGGCAAUGGGGGCAACCCUGACCGAGCAACGCCGCGUGGAGGAUGACGGUUUUCGGAUUGUAAACUCCUUUUCUCAGGGAAGAGCGAGGACGGUACCUGGGGAAUAAGUCACGGCUAACUACGUG